AUUGAACGCUGGCGGCACGCCUUACACAUGCAAGUCGAACGGCAGCACGGGUGCUUGCACCUGGUGGCGAGUGGCGAACGGGUGAGUAAUACAUCGGAACGUACCUUAUCGUGGGGGAUAACGCAGCGAAAGCUGUGCUAAUACCGCAUACGCCCUGAGGGGGAAAGCGGGGGAUCGAAAGACCUCGCGCGAUUAGAGCGGCCGAUGCCUGAUUAGCUUGUUGGUGGGGUAAAAGCCCACCAAGGCGACGAUCAGUAGCUGGUCUGAGAGGACGAUCAGCCACACUGGGACUGAGACACGGCCCAGACUCCUACGGGAGGCAGCAGUGGGGAAUUUUGGACAAUGGGGGCAACCCUGAUCCAGCAAUGCCGCGUGAGUGAAGAAGGCCUUCGGGUUGUAAAGCUCUUUUGUCAGGGAAGAAACACCGGCUCUAACACAGUCCGGGAAUGACGGUACCUGAAGAAGAAGCACCGGCUAACUACGUGCCAGCAGCCGCAGUAA
rnacentral:rRNA from 1 species